rnacentral:lncRNA from 1 species
UGUCCCGGGCAGUGGUGAAUGGUUCUCGGUGACGCAGGCUCCUAAACAGUUGAACAGACGCUGCGCUGCCGGCCUACGUCAGGGGAGACCAAGCAAACAGCGCUGCGGGAACCUUGGCUUCCCAACCCGCGGCCUUGUCCCUGCUGCACUCAGCGUGGGCCUCAGGGUGGGUGCUGGAGGCUGCGGAAAGUGGAGAUCGUGUCCUGCUGGAUCCUCCUGCAGUGUUCAAGGAAGACUCAUGGAGGACAGGAGCCUGGAAGAGGAGAGAGUGUGAGAUGCCACUCUCUGGAAGCAGAGGACCUCAGACCAAGGCCCAGCAAAGUAUUGUAAUUUUUCUGUCUGAGGAGUGUGGCCCUUCAAGAGCCAGAGUUCUGGCUUCAGACUACCUGGGUUCAAAUUCUGACUCAACGUCUUUUAGGUGUGUGUCCUGAGCAGAGACUCUUCAGCUUCCAGAAAGGAUCCCCCAGCCUUCAGACAUAGACUCUUCAGCCUCCUCAAACACACUCACAUGGGACACUGCAGUGAGAUCCAGACCUUGGACUGGGUCCUUUGGUCUCCAGUGCUGAGACAGACCCUCUGCACUCUUCCUCAUCUGACUCUGUGGGUGGCCAUUGCAAGCCAAUCUUGUAAAUUCAUAUAUAUUUGUGUAGCUUGUGUUUUAUCUGCUUCUCUAGUAAAUAUUGACUGAUACACUGUCUCCAGCAGGCCUCUUGCCUUCUACCCCACCCCACCCGCAUGUUCUGUUUUUUGGUGAG